rnacentral:rRNA from 1 species
CACGUAGGGUGCGAGCGUUGUCCGGAAUUAUGGGGCGUAAAGAGCUCGUAGGCGGUGUGUCGCGUCGGCCGUGAAAACCUGGGGCUUAACUCUGGGCUUGCGGUCGAUACGGGCAUCACUGGAGUUCGGCAGGGGAGACUGGAAUUCCUGGUGUAGCGGUGAAAUGCGCAGAUAUCAGGAGGAACACCGGUGGCGAAGGCGGGUCUCUGGGCCGAUACUGACGCUGAGGAGCGAAAGCGUGGGGAGCGAACAGG